rnacentral:lncRNA from 1 species
ACAUAAUUCUAUUCCUAUUGUCAGGUUGGGCCGAGUAGUUAGACCUUACAGUAUUUUCUCAUUUCGCAAUGUUUGCAAAUCAAUAAGGAGAAAGCCUGAACAAUGAGGUGACAAGCUGGCCAGACCAGGCCCUCCUUAGGCCCCAGUCGCCCAGGAGAGGGCCAAAUAUGGCCGAGCUUCACCACUGGCCAUGUAAGAAAGUGUCUAUCUCAUGCCUCCUUCAGUAUUAGAUCUGAGUGCUAAGUGUAGUAUGACCAGACCAAACACAGAGCCCUGGGAGAACAAUGGUCUGUCUCUGUGAGCCACUCCCCUUUGGUGCUUAUGGUCUCCUGAGCAAUGGUCACUUGGGGUGUGACUUGAAAAGGUGCAGACUGGUCUAGGCAGGUGGACUUGGGGUAGGCAGAGCUGAUUCAACAGUGGGGCCUUUUGCCUGGGUGGAGGUGUGUAGCUUGGCUCCUUUGGAGCCUCUGUAGACUGAGCACCCAAGUACAUGGGGACCAGCUAGUCACAGGGUUAAACAGAAUCUAUGAAGGAAUAUGUCAAUUGGUGACUUUUUUUUUUCUUAAAGAUGAAAGCCUGGAUUUUGUUUGGCUCCUGGGACUUCCUGUAUUCUUGCUUUUCCCCUUUUAUAUCACUUCCAUCAAGAUGAUAUACUGUCUCAAGAUGAUUUCACUGAAGCUGGCGACAAAUUUGGAGAGCCCACAUUCCUAUCGCUAGCCUAGCCUCUGGCCUCAGCCUUCAUGUUCCUGGUGGAUUUCCAUAAUACAUGGCAUGCCAAUCCUGCCUGAAACUGAAGUGUUUAUUCCCACCCCACCCCACUCUUCUUUUAGAAAUGGCAACCCACUCACCCACUCAACCAGAUAAAGCCCCCAGGGUUCGGCUUCAUCCCACCUCUCUGCCACUUUUCUCCACCUGCCCAUUAACCAGCUCAGCUGGUUCUUUUCCAGCAUUCCUACAGAAUCCAGCUCUCACCACCUGUCCAGCUUCUGCUAGCACACAGAGCUGUCGGCUUCUGGGGACAUACGACAUCUUUCUAGCUUUCCUGCUCUCCCCUUUCUAGCCAAAGCAUAGCGGGUGUAUGUCGGCUAAAAUACAAACAAGGCUGGCUUCCUACCUUGCUCAGAACAUUCUAGGCACUUCUCAUUUCUUUUAGAAUAACUCCCAACCCCUCACUAACAGCCACAAGUGUGAGUGGGUCCCACCUGCAGCUCACCACAUAUGAGCACCCACCAUGGGCUCCAGCACAGCAGCCUCUCCUUCUUUGAACUCCUCUGUUCACUCCUCCUCAUGGAUUAUCACAUAAUUAUCCUGACAUACUUCCACACCCCUCCGUCCUCAGUCUUCUCUCCAGGGUCAUCUCCUACCCUCUGGUUCCAAAGGAGUCACACCACACCACAACCUGUGUCUUUUCUCCUCAAACUGCCUAAAUCCCAGCCCCCCCCCCAAAAAAAAUGUCUCUAAAGUCUUAUCAUGUAUUUAAUAUUUGCUUCCUUCCUUAUAGUCUGUGUGUCCCAU